GAUUUAGCCAUGCUAGUCGCACGAGUUCAGACUCGUGGCGAAUAGCUCAGUAACACGUGGCCAAACUACCCUUCGGAACACAAUACCCUCGGGAAACUGAGGCUAAUAGUGUAUACCAUACCACCACUGGAAUGAGUGGUAUGCCAAACGCUCCGGCGCCGAAGGAUGUGGCUGCGGCCGAUUAGGUAGAACGGUGGGGUAACGGCCCACCGUGCCAAUAAUCGGUAUGGGUCAUGAGAGUGAGAACCCAGAGACGGAAUCUGAGACAAGAUUCCGGGCCCUACGGGGCGCAGCAGGCGCGAAACCUUUACACUGCACGACAGUGCGAUAGGGGGAUCCCAAGUGCACAGGCAUAGCGCCUGUGCUUUUCGGUACCCUAAGGCGGUACCAGAAUAAGGGCUGGGCAAGACCGGUGCCAGCCGCCGCGGUAAUACCGGCAGCCCAAGUGAUGGCCGAUCUUAUUGGGCCUAAAGCGUCCGUAGCUGGCCGCGCAAGUCCAUCGGGAAAUCCACCUGCUCAACAGGUGGGCGCCCGGUAGAAACUGCGUGGCUUGGGACCGGAAGGCGCGACGGGUACGUCCGGGGUAGGAGUGAAAUCCCGUAAUCCUGGACG
rnacentral:rRNA from 1 species